rnacentral:lncRNA from 1 species
GUAAGAGUUUCAGUUGGCUGGGUUUCGCUUUCAGUUUUCACCCUUUCGGCUUGCUGUACAGACUGCUGCCACACCGGCUGGCUAGGUUGCUCUAGUCUUUAUCCAGUAGCUGAUGGAAGCAGAAGCAGACACCCACGGCUAAACACUGAGCUGAACUCUGGAAUCCAAUUGCAGAGAGGGAGGAGUGAUGAGAAAAGGGGUCAAGACAAGGCUGGAGAAACCCACAGAAAUAGCUGACCUGAACAAGGGGGAGCUCAUGGACCCCAGACUCAUAGCUGGGAAACCAACCCAGGACUGUUCCAGAUCCUCUGAAGAAGGGGAGUGUAACCUGAAAAUUAAAUGACCCAGAGAUUGAUAUUGGUG